rnacentral:sRNA from 1 species
CUCAUUUCCAUGAGGGGCUUUGACCCCACCC